GGGGAAUAUUGCGCAAUGGGCGAAAGCCUGACGCAGCAACGCCGCGUGCGGGAUGACGGCCUUCGGGUUGUAAACCGCUUUCAGCAGGGACGAAGGGUUUCUGACGGUACCUGCAGAAGAAGCACCGGCUAACUACGUGCCAGCAGCCGCGGUGAUACGUAGGGUGCGAGCGUUGUCCGGAAUUAUUGGGCGUAAAGAGCUUGUAGGCGGUCCGUUGCGUCGGAAGUGAAAACUCGGGGCUUAACCCCGAGCCUGCUUUCGAUACGGGCGGACUUGAGGGAUGUAGGGGAGAACGGAAUUCCUGGUGGAGCGGUGGAAUGCGCAGAUAUCAGGAGGAACACCAGUGGCGAAGGCGGUUCUCUGGACAUUUCCUGACGCUGAGAAGCGAAAGCGUGGGGAGCAAAC
rnacentral:rRNA from 1 species